AUUAUUAUCGUGGAUGAUAGAGAUUCGUUUGUCCACAGGAAAGAAGGAAAUUUACUCGUGCGAAAAAGAUUAACCUGUUAAUCUUAACCGAUCAAUCUUUGAGAUUAAGCUUAAUAAUUAUCUUUCAAUUAAGAAAUUUUUAAAUUCAGCUUGAUAUUAUAAUUGUAUAUUUUCUAUUUAUAUUUCAAGGAACAGUUGAAUAUAAUAUUAUAUAUAAGUGUUGAUGAAAGAUACGCCCCUCCUUAAGAAGGAUGAAAAGUUUCGGGAUGCGAGAAUGAAAAAAUUCAAGUGCAAGUUCCCCGCCGGUUGGCAUCUCGCUGAGCGACCUCGACACGCGUGUUCUGCCUUAAAGAAACGCACUCUCGGCAUAUAGCAACGUCACGGCGAAAACCGGCUGCAAAAGGGACACACGCUGUUUAAGGAAAGAAGGAGCGACUCGAAAGAGCGAGCAGUCCCGCCAGAAACCCGGAGAUUUUUCUUUGCCACCGCGAACCUUGUUCCCCACCUUAGGGACGGACCCGUUCGAGCAAAACUCUUCUGAAGACCUCCUCUUCCUACCGAUAUUAAUUCGAAAUUCUAUGGACGAGAGCCGGUGCCUUGGAUAACGAGCGAUGCGCGAUCACAUGGAACGCCGCACACUGGAACGAAAAACCUCGCUGUUCUUGCGAGGAACUGUCUAACAAGGGAUGUUUCGACAGUAUUACCCGAUACAAUUUCCAUGAAAUUUGGCAUAUCGAUGAAUGUGCACUAAGUGUUAUCAGAAUCAAGAAAAAAUUCUGGUUUUAAUGGCAGAGUAAUUUUUACAGGAUAUGAAAAAUAUUCAGAGAAAUAGUUUGCUAAAAAUUGCUUCGUAACAUGCAGAAUCUUUUCCAUCUACUUUUUAAUACCGUUGAAAAGAUGAGAGGAAUUUUAGGAAGAAGUAACAUGGUACAAUUCUGUUAUCGGUGAAAAAGGAAACGUCUCCAGCUAACAUUUCGAGAAUUCUUCGAAUACAUAUAUGAAGAUAUAUGAGAGCGAAGCAAAGAGAUAUAUAUACGAGAAAGAGGGAGAAGCAAAUGAUUGUGGAGAGAAUCAAAAGGAGUAACGUGAGAACGUAAUAAAAAAGUAGUAAAAUGGUUAAAGAAUACAAACUUCGUGUUGAAUGAUGAGAUUCCCUGAGUAAAAAAAAGCGAGAAUCACGAGAGAAGUGAAUAAUGGAAAAAUGAGAACCUUAAGGACAUUCUCAAUCGUGUACAUUCUCGUUAAUAUCCAUUUCCUGUGUUGCUAAAUAUAUUAUAAAUAACUAAUUAAGAUUAAAAUUAUAAAAUAAA